CAGGGAACAGCCCGCAGAGUGCCAACGGGCCAAAGCGCCACUCUGGAUACCAACCUUAGAUCAGGUCCCCCAAAGCAGACCCCAAAUGAGGAUCCAUGUGCGCGACGCAGGAGCCUGACAGGGAACCGAGAGG